ACUCCUGCGGGAGGCAGCAGUGGGGAAUAUUGCACAAUGGGCGCAAGCCUGAUGCAGCCAUGCCGCGUGUAUGAAGAAGGCCUUCGGGUUGUAAAGUACUUUCAGCGGGGAGGAAGGCAAUACGGUUAAUAACCGUGUUGAUUGACGUUACCCGCAGAAGAAGCACCGGCUAACUCCGUGCCAGCAGCCGCGGUAAUACGGAGGGUGCAAGCGUUAAUCGGAAUUACUGGGCGUAAAGCGCACGCAGGCGGUCUGUCAAGUCGGAUGUGAAAUCCCCGGGCUCAACCUGGGAACUGCAUUCGAAACUGGCAGGCUUGAGUCUUGUAGAGGGGGGUAGAAUUCCAGGUGUAGCGGUGAAAUGCGUAGAGAUCUGGAGGAAUACCGGUGGCGAAGGCGGCCCCCUGGACAAAGACUGACGCUCAGGUGCGAAAGCGUGGGGAGCAAACAGGAUUAGAAACCCGGGUAGUCCCAU
rnacentral:rRNA from 1 species